ACAGUUUUUCCUGUGCAAAACACACCGUCUUUGCCAGCUAAACCCAUGGCCAAUGUAAACUUCUCAUCACCUAUGAUUAGAGAGUUUGAGAAGAAGAGAAAAGAUAUUUCGACAGUAGAUGGGUCUGUAGUUGCUAAGAAACGUCGAGGAAGACAACCUGGCAAGAAGAAACAAGUCCAAUGUACAAACAUGUUGCUACCUUCUAAUAACAAAGCAGAUUUUGGAUUCUCUUCUACAUUAACUCAAUCGUUGGCAGCAAACCCUACACAUAAGGAAUCACAAAUUUCAACUGAUUCAGUUUCGACAACACAUCCCAUAAUUCAUUCAUUUCCUAGUGUGUUCGUACCUGAGAUUUCUCCUGUUGCAAAAUGUAAUGAGAAAGUCAUUGAUGUGGUUACAACCAAGAGAGAUAUGGUUGAUCAUGUAAAGCAAACCUUCUGUAAAGAAGGCAAU
rnacentral:sRNA from 1 species